rnacentral:lncRNA from 1 species
UUUUCAAAAAAAAUCUUAGUUUGCCUAUACACAAUCAAUAAAGAAAACUUGGUGAUUAAAUAAAUAUAUAUGGUGUAGAUCAAUCAAAGUUUCGGUUGAGAGUAACAGAACAGCAAAAAGAGAAGAGAAAAUGCCCAGUUUAUUUGUGUAAUCCUGUUAGUUCCUCAGAAAGUGCUCCAUUGACUUGGUUUUAAUUAAGCUUUCCUUAAGCCUAAGAUUUCUGGUAAUCUAAGUGAGUGUCGGUGCCAGGUGGAAAUAUGCCAAAUACUCCCAGAUCUAAUUUUAAAAAUUCUUCUUCUUAGCAAACAUCCAUGACACAGAUACUGCUGAAAAGUGACCUGUAUCCAGCUGAGGAGCACUGGUUGUACAUUUGUGUUUGGUGCUGACAGAAGAGUCUACGCUACUAAGAAUAUUAAGUUAUCAUCUGGCCUCUGGAUUGAGGAGGUAGCAUUAUAUAAGUAAAUGGAGGGUCAGAGACACUGUUGGUUACCCAAGAUCGUAUUCCAGAUCACUGGUGAAGCCUGUUAGCAACUCCAAGCAUUUGAGCUAGGAUCUGCUACUUCUCAACACUAGGCUACAGACAUUCUCAGCAGUUAUCAUCUUACUGGGCUUAACAAUAAUGUACAAGGAACAUAACUGCAAAGUGGGCUACUGUGUCUCACAAGAUGAGAACAAAGGAAGUGCUGGAAGAGUUUCAAGUCUGGCUGCAGAAAGCUGGAAAGAUGACAGUCUACUUGGGAAAAUGAUACAAAAUGUCUGAAAAUUUAAGCAACUGCUCAAGACUCCUGUCUUAUGAGGGAAAGGAGGCGGGCUCCCUCACAAGACAUUAAGGCUGCCUGUGAGGGCUGUCACCAGUAGUGUUACUAAGUUAAGAUCCUAAUGUACAGUGUGGACACAUGAGUGUUUCUCUUUCUUUUACAAAUGCUGCUAAAGAACAUGCCCAUAGAGGAUAUUUGCAACACCUUAUAAACUAAACCUGACAAUAGGAAAGACCAUACAAAAAGUAUGUACCUUUUAACUUUUUUCCCUUAAGAAAGAAGUUCUAGGUAAGGUAAUCAGGUAAGAAAUUAUUCAAAUAAAAUUAGAAAAAUCAAAUAUUGCUCUGGUUAUACAUGUAAAAUAAUUGCAUUUAUUCAUUAAAAUAAUGCAUUGUAUGUAUUGAUCCAUCUAUAAUUUAUGAGGCACUGGGCAACCUAAUCAUGAAUUCACUCAGUCAUUUAUUGUGUCUGUUAUUUCAACCCACAUUAUUGAACUUCUGUUAUGUGCAAAGCUGUGGCCAGGGUGUGGAUUUCUCCAUGGAUAAGACAUAUUCUGUCCUAGAGAGGAGGCUAGAAAAACUACAGUUUAAUGAGCAGAUAUUAGAUGCUCUGUACUAUGCUAAGAAUUUUAUGCACAGUAUUUCAUAUGAAAAUUGUAAUAACUCUGUUAGGCAAGGCUUAUUGUAAUGUUCUUAGAGAUGGUGUAUUAGUCUGUUUUCACAUGGAUAAUAAAGAUAAUGAGACUGGGUAAUGUAUAAAGAAAAAGAGGUUUAAUGGACUCACAGUUCCACAUGGCUGGGGAGGCCUCACAAUCAUAGUGGAAGGUGAAGGAGGAGCAAAGUCACAUCGUACAUGGUGGCAGGCAAGAGAGUGUGUGUAGGGAAACUGCCCUUUAUAAAGCCAUCAGAUCUCAUGAGACUUAUUCAUUGCCACAAGAACAGCAUGGGAAAAACCCACCUCCAUGAUUCAAUUACCUCUCACUGGGUCCCUCCCAUGACACGUGGGGAUUAUGGGA